UGCCAGCAGCCGCGGUAAUACGGAGGGUGCAAGCGUUGUUCGGAAUUACUGGGCGUAAAGCGCACGUAGGCGGAUUAGUAAGUUAGGGGUGAAAUCCCGGGGCUCAACCCCGGAACUGCCUCUAAUACUGCUAGUCUUGAGUUCGAGAGAGGUGAGUGGAAUUCCCAGUGUAGAGGUGAAAUUCGUAGAUAUUGGGAAGAACACCAGUGGCGAAGGCGGCUAACUGGCUCGGUACUGACGCUGAGAUGCGAAAGCGUGGGGAGCAAACAGGAUUAGAUA
rnacentral:rRNA from 1 species